UAAAUGUGUUCUUGGAGUUUUUCCUUCUGUGUUGUUCCUCUUGCUCUGAGGAAAAAAGAGACGGUUAAAGAAUUCUCAUUCCUGCAAUUCCUGCCAAAGUGGCGGUUUCCUAACUCAACCCAACAGAAGCUAAGUGCUAAGAAAAUCAUUGCUGAGCACUGAAAUGAAGGUGGGAAAUCCAGGGUAUUUCUACAGGGUGUGUUUCACACACACAGACACUCUUCCUCAAUUUCUGCUUCAUUCUUCCUCCCAGACAAGCAGCUUCUUCAAACCUGGCCAGGCACUGGAGCACAAAGGAUCGUGUUGGUAACGAUGCCACACUUCACACAGGUUGUCAGCUGGAGACAACAGAAAGGCCGGGCAGUGCAGCUCUAGGUGGUGUGUCCCCAAAGUUUGGAUCAAAGAGACUCAGGGAGCCAAUGGAUGUGGCCAGAAGUCACAAAGCCUGACUAAAACAACAGGCCAUGGAGCUUUGCAUAGUCUGGGUGAGUGGGUAGAGGGCCAACCCCGAGAAGUGCCCGCAGCAAUGAGGGGUGAGCAGGGAGGAGAAGGGCUGGGGCUGGAUGGAGCCUCGAGAGAGCGUGUGGGGAGUGGGUCCCAUGGGGAUGGUGUGGAAGACAUGGCAGGUCCUGUGGUACCUACAGACAUAGUGGGAGGAGCAGAGUCUGUUUUCUUGUUAUGUUAAAUACAAAACAUUAAAAAAUAAUAGGACUUGUGGAACUGACCUCAGGCAGCUCCGGGGACGCCGGAGAUUUCCAGAGCUGCAGAAGAGCUGUGUGAGGGAUGCAAGGAGAGGAGCAGGAAUCUAAAACUCCUUCAUGCCCCUGAAAAAUCUCCUGCAAGGCCCUAAGUCGAAGCCCCAGAGGGUUGGGGGGAUGAGCACUGGCAGUGGUGGGGGCUGGAUCAUGCUGAGCCUCUGCAGGACAGACGUGCCGUGGCAUCGGGGUGUGCAUGGGUAGAACAGGCUCUCUGUGCCGUGGUGCUGCUGCUGGGCAUUAACCAGGCUCUUGUCUCGGUGCCAGGGGUGCUAAGCUCCCUUUGGGUGCACAGAGAAAUGUGUGGGUUCACAGGGAACGCCUGAUUUUGCCUUCCAUUAAAAAGCCCACCAUGGGAUGGGGGUG
rnacentral:lncRNA from 1 species